AGAGUUUGAUCCUGGCUCAGGAUGAACGCUGGCGGCGUGCCUAACACAUGCAAGUCGAGCGAAGCAAUUAAGAGGAAGUUUUCGGAUGGGAUGUUAAUUGACUGAGCGGCGGACGGGUGAGUAACGCGUGGGUAACCUGCCUCAUACAGGGGGAUAACAGUUAGAAAUGACUGCUAAUACCGCAUAAGCACACAGAACCGCAUGGUUCGGGGUGAAAAGCCGAGACGGUAUGAGAUGGACCCGCGUCUGAUUAGCUAGUUGGAGGGGUAACGGCCCACCAAGGCAACGAUCAGUAGCCGACCUGAGAGGGUGACCGGCCACAUUGGGACUGAGACACGGCCCAAACUCCUACGGGAGGCAGCAGUGGGGAAUAUUGCACAAUGGGGGAAACCCUGAUGCAGCGACGCCGCGUGAGCGAAGAAGUAUUUCGGUAUGUAAAGCUCUAUCAGCAGGGAAGAAAAAAAUGACGGUACCUGAGUAAGAAGCACCGGCUAAAUACGUGCCAGCAGCCGCGGUAAUACGUAUGGUGCAAGCGUUAUCCGGAUUUACUGGGUGUAAAGGGAGCGUAGGCGGCGCGUUAAGUCUGAUGUGAAAACCCGAGGCUCAACCACGGGAGUGCAUUGGAAACUGGCGAGCUGGAGUGCCGGAGAGGUAAGCGGAAUUCCUAGUGUAGCGGUGAAAUGCGUAGAUAUUAGGAGGAACACCAGUGGCGAAGGCGGCUUACUGGACAGUAACUGACGUUGAGGCUCGAAAGCGUGGGGAGCAAACAGGAUUAGAUACCCUGGUAGUCCACGCUGUAAACGAUGAAUACUAGGUGUUGGGUGCCAAAGGCUCCCGGUGCCGUCGCAAACGCAGUAAGUAUUCCACCUGGGGAGUACGUUCGCAAGAAUGAAACUCAAAGGAAUUGACGGGGACCCGCACAAGCGGUGGAGCAUGUGGUUUAAUUCGAUGCAACGCGAAGAACCUUACCUGGUCUUGACAUCCACGGAAGUUUUCAGAGAUGAGAAUGUGCCUUCGGGAACCGUGAGACAGGUGCUGCAUGGCUGUCGUCAGCUCGUGUUGUGAAAUGUUGGGUUAAGUCCCGCAACGAGCGCAACCCUUAUCCUUUGUUGCCAGCGGUCCGGCCGGGAACUCAAAGGAGACUGUUAGUGAUAAACUGGAGGAAGGUGGGGAUGACGUCAAGUCAUCAUGGCCCUUACGACCAGGGCUACACACGUGCUACAAUGGCGCAUACAAAGAGAAGCGACCUCGCGAGAGCAAGCGGACCUCAUAAAGUGCGUCGUAGUCCGGAUUGGAGUCUGCAACUCGACUCCAUGAAGUCGGAAUCGCUAGUAAUCGUGGAUCAGAAUGCCACGGUUAAUACGUUCCCGGGCCUUGCACUCACCGCCCGUCA
rnacentral:rRNA from 1 species